GAUCUGAUGAUUUUGUGUCUACCCCAGUGCUUGGCACAAGGCUCUGCUACGGGAGGCUUGUGUCACGGUCCCUGGGACUUACCCGGCUGGGCGGCCAUUGGGGCGAGGUAAACUGUCAGCUGCAGGACUGCGCCGGUUUGUGGGCCGCAGCACCGUGAAAUUCAUCCCUGGACCUCAUCGGCUCAAAGUGGCCAGUUCGGUGCUUCCCCGAGAGAGCGGUGGUCAUGACUCUGACCUCUCGGGGACCAAACCAAGCUGCCACUUUGGACUCAUUGAAGAAGAAGCUCUGUGUGUUCCUGAUGAUGGGAGGUGACCAGGGAAGCGACAAGAAGGGAAAUCAUACCUCCGGGGACCUGGUCUGGCUCCUCUGUCCAUGGGGGAGGUGCCAAGUCACUCCAAGUUUGAUUUCACCUCAAAUUCAAUUUCACACAUGGAAUGUGGGAAGAAAUUAUGUCAUUCUGCAAGGCCACUAGAUGACUCCUCAACUGCCAGGUCCAGCUGUUAUACUUCACCUCCAGCUUGCUCAUGGCCACAAUUUCUCAAGUGUUCCUGAAGCUGAAAAUGAAAUUCUCAUUUACCAAGGCUCUCCACAGAUCCUGGACCCGGUCCUUCGAACCUGACAGGAAAUCUUAAAACUCAUGAAGAAAUCCUCUUUCUUACCUUCUAGGCAGUUGAGAGGUGCCAAGAUGUGACCUUGAGACUCUCCUUUUGCCAUGAAGCUGACAAGAGGACGACGGUGACAGAAGAGAUAUUCUGCAGGAAACUGAGCUGGGCCUUCUAGGACAUCUCCGUGGAGAUUGGAAAAGGUGAUGCAGUUGUCAAAGCUGUCAUCGUCCUUCCUCCAUAACAGUACCAGCAGACCUCCAUCACUCCUCCCAUCAGGAGAACGUCUUUGCUGCUCCCCCUGCAGUGACGGUGGAACGAUAUGUCAUGCUUCUGUUUUACUCAGCAGUAAAUUUAGGAUCUGGGACUUGGAUGAAGAGAAGGAAUUUCCAAAUCUCAGGAAGGACACGAUCUGGGUGGGUGACCUGCAGAUCAAUUUGCUAUUGUAGUUUUCUAUCUUCUCCUCUAAUUUCUUCACCCUUCACCAGAUCUUCUUGACUUGGUGCAGAGACCAGAGAGGGUAUUUGAUUUGGGAAGUACAGGGAUUGGGCACCACAAAUGGAAGAGUAAAUUGACAGAUAAAAGGUUAGGUUGAAAUAAAUUGUCUUGUGAAAUCAUCUGCAUAAUGGAAAAUGGCCAUCGGAUGUCCAUUGGAUGAACAUGUGCCUGAGUGAUGCUGGGGGGAACCGUGUGCUUCUCAAAGAUGUUAUAAAUGUCCUCAAGGAGAUCUGAGGUGUUCCUUUCAUUCUCUGUGGAGCUCAGGGGUUCAACCAUUGUCUGUUUUGUCUUCCCAUCAUCCUCAUGGACCAGAUACCUCAGCCGAUAGUCCAGCAUUAGCAGCCUUUGCAGGAAAUAAAACGGCAAUUCCAGGUCAGUGCGGGGCUUAACUGUCAUGCAGUGAGGCUUUGUAAAUCAGGUGGAAACCCUCUCUGCCCAUCUUCCAUGGGUAGUACUGGUCCAGGCCCAGCAGUCGGAUCAGGCUCAGAAAGUCUGAAUCAUCUCUCCCUCCCUGUUCUUGAAUGCUUCCUGCCUGCUCUUUUGUUUUUUUGCUUCCAAAGAUAAACCUUUCUUCUCCUCAGACCUCGACUGUUGUACUGACCCAGGGAGAGAGGAGUCUUCCUGGGAUGCCUGUGGAGUAGACAUGGCAGUGGAAAAAUUAUGGAUGUCGUUCCUAGAAGGGAAUAGCAUACCGGUAAUACUCAAAACAACUACAAGGAACAAAAUUAAUUGGGACUAAUCUAAACCUCUUGAAUGUCACUGUCCCUCCAGGAAAGGAUAUAUGUGGUAUUUUUCAACUUAACCAUCUGUCAACCCUGUUCCUCUGGGGAACAAAGUGAGGAAAUAUUUUGUUUACUAAGGGUCCUGGAGUCCUGUUUCUGUUAAUAAUUAGAAAAUGGAGAUCUUGCUUUUGUAGCCCUCAGAAUUCCUUUAUAUCCUACUGAUAUUUUGUUUUUAGUUUGUCAUUGUCUUUAGGUUGUUUUGUGUCUCAUCUCUCCUUAUGUGACUGUCGCCAGGUCCCUCUCCCCCUUUUAUUCUUAGCUAUGAAGCUACUUGUGUACCAGUGACUUCAUGUGCUUCUCAUCCUUGUACUCUUUCCUAGUGCUCAGUUCAGUGCUCCAGACUAAGCUCAUUGU